AAAACACCCCCAUCCGCGCGCCCCUUCUCUUUCCCCGUGACUCCUCCCUCGUGAGGAACCGUAGGCCAGGCAGCGCCGGGCGCCGCCGAACCUCUUCGCCCCGCCAGACCGCGCCGAACCUCUGUGAGAAGUCGCCCGCUGCCCUUUGUCAUCUCGUCAAAGCGACGCUCGACGGCCUUCCACCCCUCCUUCCCGCCGGAGGUCUUGUCGAGAUACCGGAGGCCGCGGAGCCCCAUCUGGGCGCUGGACUGCAUCCGCGUCAUUUGGUCCGGGCGCAUCCCCAUCUGGUUGGUUCACCGGCGCCGCGGAUGGCCAGCGUGGACGCGGCGAGGUAAGCGCACAGCCCAGCUCACCACGCCGUGUGCUGGACGCGCUCCCGCGGGGCCGCUCGAGGAGAUCUGGACGGAGGCGGACUCCGUCACCGAGGAGGCCCGCGCCAAGGCCGUCUCGAAGGUCGUCGACCGCCGCGACAUGCCACUGAUGUUGUGCUCAGACGGGCGACCAGAUGCCACCGCGACAUGCCACUGAUGCCGUCUCGGCGGGCGCAGACUGGAGCCUGCAGAACAAGCAAGGGUGGAGCGCGCUGCAGGAGGCCAUCUGCUGAAUUACAGCACCCUACAGGCAGGAAGGAUGAUGGCAAAGGGAUUCGUCGUCUCCAAGGGCCUACACGCUACACAGACUGUUAGAUUCAGAGCUUCACUCGUCGCUGCUGCUGCCACUGAUGUUCAGAGCCUCCCAGAAGUUCCUUUGCUGGAGAAAGAAUGCAAACCCAACUACGUUAGGAUAAUGCUCGGAACGAUUGUUCAAUUCAGUUCAGUGGCUUCAGGAUCACAGUCUCACCUGCAAGUUUGUGCUGGCCGUUCCAUCCUGAAACGCGUACUGCUCGGUGGUCGCCUGAGAGAAGAGAGGGGGAGAGGAGGGGAGAAAAGAGGAGAGGAUGACACGUGGGUCCAUUUACGAUGGGUAAAAUAGACUAUUCACAACAAAUCUUCAUGUUUUUGGAGCUGGAGUACUGCAAUCAGCCAAACACGUCCAUCAGCUCCAUAUUUUUUGGAGUUAGUGGAGUGGAGCUGGAAAAGUAUGGAGCUGAUGGAGUGGAGCUGGUUUUUGGGAAGUGGAGUGCUCCUAAACAGACUCUGAAUCAAUAAAGUCAGUUGUGGAGAGCGUUGAGUUGUU